GAACUUAUUUAGGAGAAUUGCCACCACUGACAGGAAACUAGGACAGCAAAUCACUUCCUAGAUCCGAGCCCUAGUCCUGAUUCUGCCAUCAGCUGCCACAGACUCCUGGGAUAGGGCGGUGCCGAACCAACCACUGUGGCGGUGUAUAACCACACGCGCGAAUCGAACACCACACACCCCAGAUCCAGCCCCUUCUGAAAAGGACUGCACGAGGCCUGGGGACAUCUGGCCACGGGCCUAGCAUGCCCUCCUCUUCCUCAGCGGGUUACCUAAUCGGGUACAGGUUUGGGCUGCUCUCUGACCUGGACUGCUUCUAGAGAUGACCUCUCUCCGCGGUCCGGCCAAAGAAAUGAACAGCGAGCGGGCGGGCAGCUUACCCCGCAGCCCCUCCGCACCACCAGCACGGGCUGGCUUCUGCCCAGCCACACUGGACUCUUGGCCUGUUCAAGCCGCGUCUGACUCUGCACUUCCCGUCCCUUCUGCUCGGACACCCCGUAGGCUGCGGUCUCAGCGCAUUGGUAGGAAGCUCACACGUGAGGCACGCUGGUUUCAUUCUCAGCACAAGCACAACAAGAACAACAAGAACAAGUCCUCUCCGCACCGCACAGAGCACUGGGCAGCAUCAGUGCUGACAUCAGCUCCAGGAAGCCCCGAGCCGAGCCGAGCUGGGCCAAGCGCUGCGCAUUCCCGACCGACCGGGUGAGCACAACCCCGCAGGCACUUCGCGUCCCAGGGAGGCGGCUCACCACUGCGGGACCCUCCUGCUGGUGCUCCUUCUCUGAAGACAAGAAAGGCGCUCCAGGUGCAGCGCUCUGCCUCGGGUCUCAGCCUUUCUCCCGCGGCGCUGGGGACCCAAACAAGGGCUCCCCUCCUGCCACCCGAGUACUCUGCCACUGAGCUACAGGCCUGGCAGGGCAACAUACUGUCCUCACUGAUCACCUGGGGAUCGAUACUUUGCCAGACAGCUUCAGACUGUGAAUGUCCAGAAUGUAUUUGCAAAAUUGUAAAUUAUAGUUGAACUGCUGUAAUCAAA